CAAGAACAAAGGAAUCGAUGAA
rnacentral:snRNA from 1 species